AAUGAACGCUGGCGGCGUGCCUAACACAUGCAAGUCGAACGAGAACGGAGGGCUUCGGCCUUCUUAGUAAAGUGGCGCACGGGUGAGUAACGCGUGGGUAAUCUACCCUGAAGUCUGGGAUAACGUUCCGAAAGGAGCACUAAUACCGGAUGAGACCACAGGGACUUCGGUCCAAGGGGUCAAAGGUCCUUCACGGGACUGCUUUGGGAUGAGCCUGCGUGACAUUAGAUUGAUGGUGGGGUAAUGGCCUACCAUAUUGUCUACGAUGUCUAGCUGGUCUGAGAGGAUGAUCAGCCACACUGGGACUGGAACACGGCCCAGACUCCUACGGGAGGCAGCAGUGAGGAAUUUUGCGCAAUGGGGGCAACCCUGACGCAGCAACGCCGCGUGAGUGAUGAAGGCCUUUUGGUUGUAAAGCUCUGUCGCCCGGAAAGAAACCUAUGGAUAGGAAAUGAUUCAUAGCUGACGGUACCGGGAAAGGAAGGACCGGCUAACUCCGUGCCAGCCGCCGCAGUAAAAC
rnacentral:rRNA from 1 species